AGAGUUUGAUCAUGGCUCAGGAUGAACCUAGCGGCAGGCUUAAUACAUGCAAGUCGUGGGGCAGCAGGGGUAGCAAUACUCGCUGGCGACCGGCAAACGGGUGCGGAACACGUACACAACCUUCCUUAAAGUGGGGAAUAGCCCAGGGAAACUUGGAUUAAUACCCCGUAAUAUUAUUAGAUGGCAUCAUUUGAUAAUUAUAGCUCCGGCGCUUAAAGAUGGGUGUGCGGCUGAUUAGGUAGUUGGCGGGGUAACGGCCCACCAAGCCUGCGAUCAGUAACUGGUGUGAGAGCACGACCAGUCACACGGGCACUGAGACACGGGCCCGACUCCUACGGGAGGCAGCAGUAAGGAAUAUUGGUCAAUGGACGCAAGUCUGAACCAGCCAUGCCGCGUGGAGGAUGAAGGUCCUCUGGAUUGUAAACUUCUUUUAUCUGGGAAGAAACCCAAGGUUUCUACUUUGGUUGACGGUACCAGAUGAAUAAGCACCGGCUAACUCCGUGCCAGCAGCCGCGGUAAUACGGAGGGUGCAAGCGUUAUCCGGAUUCACUGGGUUUAAAGGGUGCGUAGGUGGGCUAGUAAGUCAGUGGUGAAAUCUCCGGGCUUAACCCGGAAACUGCCAUUGAUACUAUUAGUCUUGAAUGUUGUGGAGGUAAGCGGAAUAUGUCAUGUAGCGGUGAAAUGCUUAGAUAUGACAUAGAACACCGAUAGCGUAGGCAGCUUACUACACAAAUAUUGACACUGAGGCACGAAAGCGUGGGGAUCAAACAGGAUUAGAUACCCUAGUAGUCC
rnacentral:rRNA from 1 species